UAUCGGGGAGGGACGAAAUUAUGUGUCUACAUAUGCUUGAGGAGAUUCUGACUAAUUUGGGGGAUGUUGAUUCAUUAAAACUGAUAGAACUUGUAAAGAGCCCUCAACUUGAAGAUUCAGCACUGAAGAUUAAACAAUAUGUUGAAGAGAUGACAGGAUGGGAUGCACUUAAGGUCGAAAUAUCUUGAGUACCAGCAGAACAGACCUUGAGAACUAGAAAGGAAGGGCAGUAGAAGUUACUUUGGAAAGUACAAUCAUGGAAAGAGGGAAAAAUGCAGAAAGAGAGGAGGAAGUGAACAACUUAUCGAAGUUUCUUUCUUUCCCACAAACAUUUUCUGUCCCCGUCAAAAGCAGAACCUUUCCUUGCCGCUCAGUUCACCUCCUAGUAGGCAUGCCGCUGCUAUGCCUUGCACUCUGACUUUUCUUCCACCGAACGCUGGGGACUUCAAUGGUGAGUUUUUCCUUGAAACAUACAUGGAGUCUACUGUCUGCUAUUGGAAAAGAAGGAAGUGAAACCAAAGGUGCUGAAGUCAUUGAGAAAUUCCAAUGCAAUAAGAAGUGGGAUCUCUGCCUACAAGGAGUAAUAAUUGUCAUGCAGGCUGGUGGAAUCAACCAUCGAUAUGCGUUUGGAAUCAACCAUCGAUAAUUUUUGUACAACUUUUGCCUCAUGCAACAGUAUGUGUUAUUAAAAUUUCUCUUGUUGAAUGCCCCAUUUCAAACUUCAGAAAAAGAUGCAGCUUUCCAAACAAACCAGAAUACCAUCAAGAAAAAGAAGUUCAAUCUGAGUAGUGAAAUACUUGUUGUCGUGGAAAUCUAAAGGAAGCUGAAAGAAUUAUUGUCACUCCCCGACCCAAGGCCGUAGACGUGACACGCACCCGAUACUAUUGCUAGUACGAGUGAACGUUUUGGCAUAUCACAUGAGCAUACAACUAACAUAACGAAUAGAGAGGAAACAGAAUAAAUAAGAUUUCUUAAAGGAUAAAGUCUUUCAACAAUGUUCAUUAAUAUCACUUUAACAUCUGAAGAUACAAUAGUCAUGACAAAUAAGACUAAAAAUUACAAAACUGUCUGACAACUAAAUCUGUGAAGGCUCUAAUGACUAACUAUAAUUGUCGGGAAAAGGCCCCGGUAUAUCCUGACACUGAAAGGACCAUAGAGAAAUUGUCAUAUCUAAAUUUGCCCCAGGUAGAAAGGAGGCUCACCAAUAGCAGAAGAUGAUAAUCCUAAUGAUGUGUUUGACCGCGGACUUGAGAUCCAAACCUACAUCAUGAAACGAUGUAGUGUCAAAGACGAUCAAUACAUGGAACAUAUUGGUAUGCAAAACAAUUUCGGGAGGGUAGU